CAGAGGGCGGUGGGCAUGGAACAGCUGCCCAGGGCAGUGGGACGGCCCGGAGUGCCAGAGCUCAGGGAGCAUUUGGACAGUGCUCUCAGACAUUGGGUUUGGACAUUGGGUGGUCCUGCAUGGAGCCAGCAGAUGGACUCAGGGAUCUUUAGUGCUCAUCUCAACCCUAUAAACUCCAGAUUCAUUUUUAGCAGGUUUGCAUGUGCACAUUACGAAUGAAGAGACGUAUCUGGUUUUGACUGAGAUGAAUUUCCUUGAUCUGCACCAAUUCAUCAGAAAUGCAGCAGAACGGAAAAGCCAGAACGCAAAACUGAGGAAGAAAAGGGAAGCAGGCGCCUUCCUCAGCGGGAAAAGGGAAAGUCCAGCCAAGUUCCCCCCACUGUGGUUUCCAGCACCGGUUGAAUGCAAAACAAACAAGUAUUGGAGUGAGAAAAGAGGGGAAAGCACAUAUUUCAUGUGAGAAAAAAAAAAAGGCUCAGUAUCCUCUGUGAAACCAAAGUGCUGGUUCCCAUUCUGUCACACAUUCCCAUUCUGUCACACAGCACCUCACUGCAGCAGCUCGCUCACAGCAGGUUGCAGCGCAGAAUUAAAAGACUCACAUUGUUUCCAAGGGUGCAUUUCCAACCUGGUUUGGCUGCAGCCAAAACCUCUGCAUGGAGAGGAUGGAUCCCCGCUUCAGAGGACGAGCUAUGGGAAACUCUCAUAUAUAUCUCGUAUAUCUCUCCAUAUAAGAAUGGUGACAUAAGAGGUGGAUUUAAACUGCUUAGCUCGAGUACAGCCGACACGGAUUAGUUACCCUCGGGUCCCGUCAAGCCCUGUCAAGCUUUGCAGCCUGCUCCGAGCUCCCUUAUUGAUGGGGAAAUGUAAAGAACAACAUACACAUCCCCUGUAUUCUCCGCUGGGCAGCUUUGAGACCGCUUGAAAUUGCACCGGAGCCUGGAAAAGAGGACAUCACUAUCACAGGCACUGUCUGCCCAGCUCGGGGCCAUUUCUAACCUGACCAGCGUGACCCAGCAUCUGAGCUGUCCCCAGGUUGGGAGCUGCUUCGGCAUGACUGCAGCAGCAUUUCAUAGCGGCCCUAAAGGGGCUUGCUAAUGAGGCGGGGUGGCAUUGUAUGCAGAGUGGCUAAAUAUCCGGUGGCUCAGAGAAAGAAGCUGAAAGCCCUGACUUGUCUUCUGUAAGGCUGAAUUCAUUCAAUUAAACAGCUUUGAGAGCUCAGAGAUGGCUUAGUGGGAAACUUUAUUACCUCCGAAAAAUCGGAGAGCAUUAAAACAAUUGCCAGGCAUGCAAAGCAAAGUUUGCAUUCACUCAUGCUAGGCGGCCAAAUUUACAUAUUCUAGACCAGGUCUGGAGCUUUAGAAAGCCUUCAUAAUUGCAUUAAACAUGCUUAUUCUCCAUGUUCUCUCAAGCAGAGCUGAUUACCUCAAGUUGGGCAGUGCCUGGAGGGAAAUUUGCUAAGCCACAUGAUGUAACAACUUGCACAGAAAUCUCAUUUCUUCCAAGGAAGUAGCAGUUUGGUUAUUCCCACAAAACACCUCUCAUGCCCAGUGGCCAGAUCGUUGGCUCGCCUUCUGCCUGCACUUGCUCAGCCUGAGCACUGCAGCAAGCACUGAGCUUUGCUCUGCAAGCUGGGAUCAAACAUGGAGAUGCUUGGAGAAGAUGCCCCGGUGCCUCCAGUCCACUCUGAAGAUGAAACCAAGGUUGUGCAGGCAGCAGAGCACUUUUGCCAGCAGCACGCUGACAGCCCAAGCUGAAGGGGGGGCAGGGAUGCACGGUGCCUGCUGGCUCGGGCCCCGCACAGCAGAUCCAGCUCCCUGCCACACAGUCAGCCUCUGGUGAGGGAACAGUUUCACCCCUGCAGACUGAGGAGGCCAGGAAAGGUUGCCUUGGGCAGAGCAAAGCAGUAAGCCUUGCCCAGCAUUACAGUGACAGCUGCAAGCACUUGGAGAAGUCCUCCCAAUGCUUGUGGAGUUCUGACCCAGGGAUGGGCAGUAGGAUCCAUCCCAAAGGAAACAUCUCAUGCCAAGAACAUGAGCGAGGAGCGUCCCAAGCUUUAUCCCAUCACCAGCCAAACCUCCUCUAGUAGAAAGCAAACCAAUGCCCCACUCUCCAGCACUCCUCUUCCUCUCACCUCAGCAUCAGGAAGGCAGCAUGAAAGCAGGAACAUCUUUGCAGAAGGAGAGGGAGGAUUCUUUUUUUUUCCUGCCCCCUUAUACAGGCUGAUAUGGUUAUGAAGGUAUGGGAAAGUCUCACUGCCCAAACAGGUGUCACUAUCCAAAACCUACAGUCUCAUUUCCUGAUCGUGUCUUAAUCUGCGAGUUGGUUGUGCAAGUUGAUUUCUUGCACAUUCUUAUAUCAGUGGGAAUUUCUGCCCUUCCCUGACAAGUAUUAUAGGCAGUCUUUGACAUACAGCCCUACAGGACCUAAAUAGGCUGCUAUUCUUUCCCUACACUGAAAGGGAGCUUUGUGCCAGGGAUUCAUUAAACUGCACUGCACAGCCCUUCAUAAAUGGGCUCAAUAAUGAACAGUCGAUUUAACUGGAAAAGCUGCUGGAGCUGUUAAAUUAAAGGGAAAUAAAGUGCACUUCAGGCUCAGUCUGCCAGAAGAAAAUGUUGACCUAAAAAAAUCUUCAUUUCACCGAAUCUCUGCAAACAGGAUAAAAUCUUCAGGAAGUUUAUGCUGACAACAGUCAGAGAAAUGUUAAGCCACAACAGUUUGCUUCCUUGCUAAUAAAACAAGCAAAACUGAUGAUAAAAUCUUCAGUAAAAUCAGAAGCGGGGCUGAAGGGCAUAUUCCACAGAAGCCAGACAGAGUGACUCUAUCUACCUAUAUUCAGUAUAUGUGCAUAGAUACAAGGUGCUGUGGCUUACCCAGUCCCUAUCUGCCUUAAAUCACUGCAUAUUAUAGAGGGUCUCGGCUUUCUAAGGUGCUAUUUCAUUCAAAUUAUCUUAGUAGCAGACAUGGGAAUGCAGACUUAGCACCCUGCAGAUGAAGCCCUGUUUCCCUCUUGCAGCCGCUGGAUUCCCUUGCCACAGCUUCCCCUUCCUGCUCUUCACCUUGCUGCAUUUUUCAUAUUCUUCUGGAAUAUAUUCCUCCCUGAAAACAGUGCAGGGAAAAUUCUGGUGAAGAAAAGGUUGCUUGCUUAGGCCUUCAUCCAAUUGACUUUAUGUAUCGAAGGCUUCCCCUGGAACCAAGCUCAAAAAUCUAUCAGUGAAUUUAUUUCCUGUUUGCUGCUAUUUGCUGAAAACUUUGGGAUUUUUCUGGUCCAAUCCCACAGAGCCCAGCUCUGGGAUCAUGUUAUGGGUGGUUUUGCCCAUGUGAGGAGUGCAGGACUCAGACAAAACAUGGCCCACGUGUUCUGGUCAUCCUGGAUGAUUAGAAUGGUCCAUCGUUCAGCUGGGCCUGACUCACCUCCUGGUUUUAUGGGUGGAAUUCCCUAUUUCAGUGAGGUUGCUGGGGUUGCUUGGUGGUGAAUCAGCUCUUCCAUCAGGGCCAUCUCAUCCUCCCUCACCUGAGCAAUCCUAGGUAUUGUUUCACAGCAGUGUUGCACACCUUAUUUAUGAUCUCACGCGAAGAGAGGUUGUGGAGAGUCUCCUUCUCUGGAGAUAAUCAAGACCCACCUGGAGGCUUCCCUGUGCAACCCACUGUAGGGAAGCAGGGAGUUGGACUGGAUGGUUUCUGAAGGUCCCUUCCAGCCCUUACAGUUCUGUGAUUCUGUGAUAAUUGUGAAGGUGAUAGAAGCAAGCUUUCAGGUCAUCACUGAAGUUACCUUUAGUAGAUUCAAUAUUUUUUCGUACAUCCUGAAAACAUGAGCAUUCGGGAAGAGAAUUAGCUACAAAGUAUCAGUCUUCUACCUAAAUUUUGCAUAAUUAUUCAUGGUCCCACACAGCACCUUCUGGCAGAGCCUCUCAGGGAGCCAUAAGGUCACCUACUGCCAGCAGGUGCUGUGUGGUUCUGGGGAGGAGAGAUGCUCCCUGAAGCUUACUUAAUAGGUGAGGAUUUAGGAAAUGAUGCAAAAAUAGUCUUCAUUUAUUUCCAAGUGGUCACUGAAACUGAAGGCACACUGUCAGUAAAGGCCAUUCCCGUUGAGUGUCAUUGAGUGAGUCAGUGAGAGUCCCAACCUCUUUGUCCUCCAUUUGGGAAUAACCAUGAAACUCCGUGCCAAAAUCUUCCUAUGAUGUAUGGCACCUUCUCUCUGUGUAGCUAUAAUCUAAGCAAAGCUUUUUCUUCCUCAGGGCUCAGCCCUUCUUCCCGCUCCAGCUUAAGACAAUGAUUCAACCACGCAGAUGAGUCCCUAAUUUGGAGGUGACCUCAGGUAUUUGAGCCCACGGCGAUGCUAUCGUACAUCUUUAGUCUUUUUUGUCUCUUAAGCAAACCUGGCACAGCCACAACUCAUCCAAUACAUGUGCAGAAAUGUAGCUACCUCCAGCACCUCUGGGGUUGCACUGUGUGCCGGGGCUCAGGGCUCAGGUACUGAAAUGGUGGCAGUGCCUACAGAAAACAUUCUUCUUUUCAGGUGUGUUAUAAUUGCUAUGAGAUAUCUGCAUUACUGGACCGCCUUUCUCACCCAGAAGGCCCCGGACCAUAAAUCAGCACAACACAAGCCAGCACGUAGUGUCAGCCACCUAAAUUAACCUCUGGAUUUCAAUGGGAUUAUUCUCAGGCUGGGGUUUGAGCAUAUCUUGCUGGACAGAAGUCUUCAUUCACAGCAGAAAGCAGUUAAAACCAUUUGGUGGUACAGAGCUACCUUUUGAAUGUUCAUAGUGUUCGUUAGUGUUUAAGACAGAAAUGGUAAUAUCUUAACUAUCUAUAAAUUACCCAGGUAAAUAGAUGAUAAAUCAUUAUAUACACGUACAUACCAAGAGUGAGAGCGUUCUCUGAUGUUUGCACACAGAUAAUACACACAGUCUGAAAAUACUGUAAAAAAAAGGAUUCGUUUGGAGAGCUGUAGCUGGCAAAAAUGUUACGUUUUGGUUACCAGCAAGGCUUUCUUAACCAGAUGUUUUCAGUCUUUUCUGAACAGAACCACUCACAGAUUGUCCCCUGAAUUAUUUCAUGUUUAGAAAUGGGGCCUUGUUAAAAGAGAGAGGGAGACAGAGAGAGAGAGAGAGAGUAGCACAAACUGCCAUUAUCAUGCAAAUCGCCCCAGAGGAAAAAGGACAGUGAAAAUGAUAGCACUGAUCUAAUUAUCUGCAGGCCAAUAUAGCUAAGUCACUGAAAGAGGCCCACAGAAAAGGCUGCCACAGAAACACAAAAAACAGCCAGAAAACAAUAAGGAACUUAGCAACAGUAUAAAAACGGACUUCUUUCUGCGCACAAAGAGUAGUUUUAUGAGCAUUUUUCUUGCUUUCAGUUUGCAGAAAAGGUUAGAGCACAUUUUAAAUUCUACAUCAGGGGUUUUUACCCCCCUCAGGCCCUGCAGACCCUCUGGCAUGCUGUCAUAUCUCUACGUGCCCAGUGCUGGGAACAUGGCUGCUCCCGCUUAGCGUGUCCAAACCGCCCCACGUAUGUCGGGGGUUCAUGUGGGGUGCCAGCCGGAUCUUGGCAGGGGCCUGGGUUUCCAUCGAGAUGUUCAGGCUUUUCCCUUUUUGCAUGUUGGUGCUGUUCUCGCUGGUCCUGAGGGGAUCCUUGCUGCAGGAUGGGGCGUCUGCCCAGGGAGGUGAUGGAAUCACCGUUGCUGGAGGUGUUUAAGAACUGUGGAGAUGUGGCGCUGAGGGAUGUGGUUUAGUGGGCAUGGUGGGGGUGGGCUGGGGUUGGACUUGGUGAUCUCAGGUGUCUUUUCCAACCGUAAUGAAUCUGUGAUUCUCUGAUUCUAUUCUAUGAUUUAUACACUGCCCGCCCUCCUCAAGCAACCCAUAAAAGGGCUUCAGUGCUCCCUCCAUGGAGAGCUGCAGGAGGACCCAGCUACUGCAGCCUGCACACAUGCACAGCCAUCCCUGAAGGCUUCAUCUGUCUCUGUCUCAGGCCCAGCUCCCAGCAUCACGUGCAGCCUCGUGGUGAAAAGACUGAGAAAACGCCCUGCAGACCCUUGUCCAUCUUCAUAGCCUUCCUUUGGACACUCUGUCAUAGUUUAUGUCCUUCUAAUAUCGUGGUGCCCAAACCUGAACCCAGCACUUGAGGGUGUCUUCUGGGUUCUGCCAAGGAGAGGACCCGAAGCUGCUGUAGCAGACAUGUCAUUCUUAAGGAUCUCUGAUGGAUAUCCCCCAAUGUCUCCUUCAGCUCUGGCUGACACAGUGGGAGCAGCACUCUGCCUUGAGGAUGAGCCUCAAAGAGAAGGAUGUUUAUCCACUGGGUAUUAGCUGAAGAUCAGACUUAAUUCCCUGCCUAGUGGGACAUUUCUUGCUCAGUGUUGGACCAAACCUUGGGGGCUCGAUCCCCUGGAGGUGCUGAAUCCCAGCCAGUUUCUGCUGUGGUUCAGGGAAUAUCACCUAAAUUCAGAGAUAAGCCUUGACAGUAGUGGUAUGCAGGACUGUGAGACUCAAAGGAGAACACGAUCCUGUAUCCAUCACCAGCACAGUGGCAUGGGAACAUCAUCCACGCUGUGCUCUUCCACCCCAAAACCUGGCUGCACAGAGAUCUCUGUGGGCAUGACAGGGGAGCUCAUCAUGUCCCCUCGCCAUGUCCCUGCCCCUGUGGCCAUUCAGUGUCACCUUGGCUGUGUGCAAAUCCACCUGCCAAAAGGGGCUGCUGUGGCUUGGCUUUCUCAGAAGCAUGGCAGACCUCAUAAUCUGAUGCUGAAACUGUCCUUUUUCGUUGUUGUUGCCACAAUAAUUUGCCCAACAGCAGUUGUAUGAAAGUGUAACUAGCUUAAGAAAGGUAAUUUUUUGUUGUUGGAAUGACCUGGAAGGAGGAAGACUUGAGGACUGGUAUUGUUGGACAUUAGGAAACAUUUCUUCUCAGACAGUGGUGAGGCAUUGGCCCAGGCUGCCCAGGGAGGUGAUGGAAUCACUGACUCUGGAGGUGUUCAAGAAUGUGGAGACGUGGCACUGAGGGACGUGG